UGGGGAAUAUUGGUCAAUGGGCGCAAGCCUGAACCAGCAACGCCGCGUGAGGGAUGAAGGUCCUCGGAUUGUAAACCUCUUUCAGCAGGGACGAAGCGAAAGUGACGGUACCUGCAAAAGAAGCACCGGCUAACUACGUGCCAGCAGCCGCGGUAAUACGUAGGGUGCAAGCGUUGUCCGGAUUUAUUGGGCGUAAAGAGCUCGUAGGCGGCAUGACACGUCGGAUGUGAAAACACGGUGCUUAACACCGUGCCUGCAUUCGAUACGGUCAAGCUAGAGGAUGUCAGGGGAAACUGGAAUUCCUGGUGUAGCGGUGAAAUGCGCAGAUAUCAGGAGGAACACCGGUGGCGAAGGCGGGUUUCUGGGACAUUACUGACGCUGAGGAGCGAAAGCGUGGGGAGCAAACAGG
rnacentral:rRNA from 1 species